CUUAAAUGUAGAGUGCGAUUUUUUAGAGAUUAGAAAUUCCCUUCGGGGCUUUCUGCAAGGUGCUGCAUGGUUGUCGUCAGCUCGUGCCGUGAGGUGUCGGUUAAGUCCCAUAACGAGCGCAACCCUUAUCGUUAGUUGCCAUCUGGUAAUGCAGGGGACUCUAGCGAAACUGCCACCGUAAGGUGAGAGGAAGGUGGGAUGACGUCAAAUCAGCACGGCCCUUAUGUCCAGGGCUACACACGUGUUACAAUGGUCGGUACAGAGGGCAGCUACCUGGUGACAGGAUGCUAAUCUCGAAAACCGGUCUCAGUUCGGAUCGAAGUCUGCAACUCGACUUCGUGAAGCUGGAUUCGCUAGUAAUCGCGCAUCAGCUAUGGCGCGGUGAAUACGUUCCCAGGCCUU
rnacentral:rRNA from 1 species